GGAUGAACGCUGGCGGCGUGCCUAAUACAUGCAAGUCGAGCGAACGGACGAGAAGCUUGCUUCUCUGAUGUUCGCGGCGGACGGGUGAGUAACACGUGGAUAACCUACCUAUAAGACUGGGAUAACUUCGGGAAACCGGAGCUAAUACCGGAUGAUAUUUUGAACCGCAUGGUUCAAAAGUGAAAGACGGUCUUGCUGUCACUUAUAGAUGGAUCCGCGCUGCAUUAGCUAGUUGGUAAGGUAACGGCUUACCAAGGCAACGAUGCAUAGCCGACCUGAGAGGGUGAUCGGCCACACUGGAACUGAGACACGGUCCAGACUCCUACGGGAGGCAGCAGUAGGGAAUCUUCCGCAAUGGGCGAAAGCCUGACGGAGCAACGCCGCGUGAGUGAUGAAGGUCUUCGGAUCGUAAAACUCUGUUAUUAGGGAAGAACAUAUGUGUAAGUAACUGUGCACAUCUUGACGGUACCUAAUCAGAAAGCCACGGCUAACUACGUG
rnacentral:rRNA from 1 species